AAUGAACGCUGGCGGCGCGCCUAAUACAUGCAAGUCGAGCGAGAAGACGUAGCAAUACGUUUGUAAAGCGGCGAACGGGUGAGGAAUACAUGGGUAACCUACCCUCGAGUGGGGAAUAACUAGCCGAAAGGUUAGCUAAUACCGCGUACGCUCCUUGGACUUCGGUUCAGGGAGGAAAGCGAUACCGUGGGUAUCGCGCUCUUGGUUGGGCUCAUGUCCUAUCAGCUUGUUGGNGAGGUAACGGCUCACCAAGGCUUCGACGGGUAGCUGGUCUGAGAGGACGAUCAGCCACACUGGCACUGCGACACGGGCCAGACUCCUACGGGAGGCAGCAGUAAGGAAUAUUGCGCAAUGGGCGAAAGCCUGACGCAGCGACGCCGCGUGGGGGA
rnacentral:rRNA from 1 species